UGAGGAAUAUUGGUCAAUGGGGCGAGAGCCUGAACCAGCCAAGUAGCGUGCAGGAUGACGGCCCUAUGGGUUGUAAACUGCUUUUAUGCGGGGAUAAAGUGUACCAUGUAUGGUGUUUUGCAGGUACCGCAUGAAUAAGGACCGGCUAAUUCCGUGCCAGCAGCCGCGGUAAUACGGAAGGUCCGGGCGUUAUCCGGAUUUAUUGGGUUUAAAGGGAGCGUAGGCCGUUUUUUAAGCGUGUUGUGAAAUGCCGCGGCUCAACCGUGGCACUGCAGCGCGAACUGGAUGACUUGAGUGCGCGGGAGGUAGGCGGAAUUCGUGGUGUAGCGGUGAAAUG
rnacentral:rRNA from 1 species